AGACUAAUUACUAGGCAACUCUUAACUGACCAUUUAAGGAAAAACCGAGAGGUUCAUGCUUAAAGGGCAGAAAGAUGAACCUAGUAGCGCUAGAAUAGUUCAUCGGGAUGGCUUGGCGGUAGCGCCUACAACGACGAGCCAA
ncrna:unclassified sequences IMES-2 RNA motif